rnacentral:rRNA from 1 species
UAGGGAAUCUUCCACAAUGGACGAAAGUCUGAUGGAGCAACGCCGCGUGAGUGAAGAAGGGUUUCGGCUCGUAAAACUCUGUUGUUAAAGAAGAACAUAUCUGAGAGUAACUGUUCAGGUAUUGACGGUAUUUAACCAGAAAGCCACGGCUAAAUACGUACCAG